CGCCUAGUUUUUUCACCUGAUAAAUAACCAACACCAGUCCUUUUCCAAUUGUCAAGGUGGACCAAUAUGAGGAAUAAUGAAUAUGCAAAAGGGGAAAUUGGCAUAAAAGAAUACCAAGGUAAAAUAAAGAAAUGUUAUCUCCGUGAGUCGAAUGAAUCUUCUACUGUCAAAAACUUCUCAACAAAUAAAUGCUGUGAGUUAAUCAAGAAAAUGAUACCAUCAGUUGUGGAUACUUUUGAAACUUUCACUCUUUCUCAAGAGUUUGCUUCUGACCAAAUUCAACAUUAUACAGAGCUAAAUAAGCAAAACACUACUAAAAAAACAAGUAUAGUUUGCAGUUCAGAUUUCGUUAUAAAAUUAGAUUUUGAAAAUCUAAGUAUGGCUAUAUUUAAGAUUUCUGAGAAUUCUAACGAGAUAGCAAAAGCAAAACUCAUUAAACACGUACUUUUUAAGUUACCCGAAGACCUCACCAAAUAUUUUAAUUCCAACUAUUGUAUGGACCCAAAAUUUAAGCAGCCGAGUUUUAAAAAAUACAUUCUUGAAGAAAUUUGUAAUUUUGCAAUUUACCCCAAUAGGAAAUAUUCUUAUUAUGCACAAAUGCUGCAUAUUUUAAAAAAUGGAUCAAUUCACGGAAAUGGAGAAAAUCGUACAUACGUCAUAGCAGGACAGUUUAUUUGUUUAAUUGACACAAAUGACCUCUACAUUACACCUGUGUUCAAAAUAAAUCACUUUCCUGAGGACGGCAACGUUAUUAAAGUGACUGACAUUUAUAGUUACGAAAAAAACAUGUCGUAUAUUACUUUAAGUAAUAAGUUUCCCAAGUCAAAAGACUUCCGAGAAUCUCUCAUUUACUUCAUCAAUGGAGAUCAAGAAAAACUUUUUUAUUUCAUGUAUAACCCAUUUCAUGCAACUGCUUUAGUGGCGGUGUUAAUCUCAGAGGUCAUCAGAAAUCCAAUUAUGAUAUUAAUUAACAGAAUUGCAAUUAAAAUUAAUACAUUACAUACAUUUAGUGAGUUCCUCCAGAUCUUGCCAUCUCUAGCUGGGGGAACCUGGAAAAGUCAAAAAGCCUAUGGUCCUAAAUUUUUAAAUAGAACCCAAGAAUUUCUCAGCAAUGUGGAAUUCAGUGAUUUACCGUUAAUUGGUUGUGAUUAAUAAACAAACUAGUCACAUUUGGGGAGUCUUCAUACAAACAGUUCAUUGGAUCAGUCUAAAAUGUUGCACAUACACUGAUGCCAUAUAGUGGCCAAAAUCUAAAUUGCGCCUGGGCUGGAAUAAUGCAUUGUGGCCUUUGUCUUGCAUUUUCAAAGAUGAUGGUACAAAAAAUAAUACAAAAUAACGUUUUUUUUUCUUUGUACAAUUGGCCCAGCGUUGUCCUGGUUUGGAUGGUGUAGGCUGUCAUUGUAAAUAAGAAUUUGUUCUUAACUGAAUGGUUCAGUUAAAAUUAAGCAAUUUAAAAUAAAUCUAAACCUAAGAAAUUUACAGAGCAAGACAGUUAACACCUAACAACAUAUUCAUUAUUCCCCAUGUUGCUCCACCUUCACCCCCUGGAGGAGCCAGGUGGGGCCACAGAGCAGGCUCCUCCAUCUUCUCCUGCCAACUCUGUCAGUCCACCAGACCCCACAAUGCAGCCUCCACACCACUGCAGUAACAGCCAUAUCUUCACGUCACAAAGCUUCAGUACUAUCUGAAUGUGUUGAAGUACCAUCCAGCAUCCUGUGGCAACCUCAAUGUGAAUCAUGAUCACCACCGACCCGGGCUCCACAGAGGUAGUCUUGGACGCCCAGGCUCUGCACACGUUCAAGGACACGGGAUUUUGAAGGAUCCCAGUGAGCAAAAUUAAUGGCCUCCCGAGACCACCACACAGAUGACUCUCAGCACACCAGACCGCAGGGACCGAUAAGAUGUGAUUAGAUCUUCAGCAAGAUGUGGACCUCGCCACAUCAUCUGAAGAUAAAGAAAAUAAAGGCCACAGAAGAUAAAGGCUAAUGGAUCUGACAGAGAUAUUUUUUUUGUUUGAUUUGUUUGGAUUUGUUUUGAUUUGAUGUAAUAUUAAUAUACAAGGAAAAACUUGUAUUCAGGAAAAAGUAAUUGAGUUAACCUCGAUAUGACCUUCAAUGGGAAAGCGUAGUAAAUCAUCAUUGAUUUAGUGCUAGAGUGUAUUCAGAAUAUGGCCAUUCUGACAUUCAUUAUAAAAUGCCUCAGAUAGGACCAAACAUAGUGUUUGGAGAUAUCCGUCAGGGUAUGAGUGACAACAGGUCCACAUGUCAAAAUGGGGGAAAUCUUAGCAAAUGGCUUAAUGGUUAUUCAUGAGAAUCAAGUGUGUGUGUGUGUGUGAGAGAGUGUGUGUUUGUGUGUGUGUGGAUGUGGUGUUGCGGUGUGCAUGUAGGCGUGUGUGCAUGUGUGUUUUCCUGUGAUAUAAUUGUUGUUUUCUUCAUCCAGUGUCUUCCAUGAAAUCACCUCAGCAUGUCACACCCUGUUUCCCCUAGAGUGCAGCGACAACAUACCUUCACACAGAAAGAGAAAGAAAGAGAAUGAGACAGAGAACUGGGAGAGAAAGGGGGAGAGAAGGGGUAGGAUAGAGGAAGAGAAAAAAUUAUUACACCAGUUGAAAUAAUUCAUCAGCGAUUCCUGGCUACAUAUCCUGUGUGUUUGUGUGUGUGUGUGUGUGUGUGUGUGUGUGUGUGUGUGUGUGUGUGUGUGUGUGUGUGUGUGUGUGUGUGUGUUGGAGAGAGUGUGUGUGAGAGAGUGUCCUGGAGGGGGGGGUGUAGUGUAACAUAGCAUAUGCUACAAUUCAUGAUAUCUGCAUUACUGCCGACUCUAUCAUUCAAAUGCGGAGAUGCAAAGAAGAAGCCAUAACACUCAAACGUACACACAACACAUGUACCUAAGGGUGACAUAAUAUUUCCCCAAUACCAAUCGUCAGCUUACCAAAUCAAAUACUAUGCCUUUAUAUUAAGCAAUUUUGAAACCAAAUAAAUUUGAUUUGAGAAUGGA